rnacentral:rRNA from 1 species
UGCGGAGGAUGCAAGCGAUAUCCGGAAUGAUUGGGCGUAAGGCGUCCUCAGGUGGUUGGGUGUGUCUAUUGUCAAAGCAUCAUGCUUAACAUGAUAAAGGCAGUAGAAACUACACGACUAGAGUGCGUUCGGGGCAGAGGGAAUUCCAGGUGCAGCGGUGAAAUGCGUAGAGAUCAGGAAGAACACCGGUGGCGAAAGAGCUCUGCUAGGACGCAACUGACACUAAGUGAAGUAAGCUAGGGGAGCGAAUGGG